rnacentral:tRNA from 1 species
GGAGGGAUACCCAAGUGGCUAAAGGGGGCAGACUGUAAAUCUGUUAGCGACGCUUUCGAAGGUUCGAAUCCUUCUCCCUCCACCA